CAACCGGGAAACCACAUACCAUGGACAGUGCUCGGGGAAUUUCGGCUCCUCCUCAUCCCUGGAGGUUCCAGGGAUCUGGCAGAGAAAGAAGCCCAGUCUCACAGCAAUGACUCCUGAACAUCCUUUGCAAACACUAUUUAGGACAGAUGGACUGAAGUAGGCCCUGGGGAGAGUUGGGGGCAUUUCCGGAGGGAACAUCCCAAAACUCAGCAGAGGAGGAGAGGGAGCUUUUGUUGGUCACCUGGAACCACUACCAAUCCAUGUUCAUGUCAAAUUAAAUGAUCACUUUGAAGU
rnacentral:lncRNA from 1 species